rnacentral:rRNA from 1 species
CCCUUAGAUGCUCUGGGCCGCACGCGCGCUACACUGGUCGAUGCAACGAGUUUCUUUCCUUGGCCGACAGGCCUGGGCAAUCUUUGAACAUCGAUCGUGAUCGGGAUAGAUUCUUGUAAUUUUUGAUCUUAAACGAGGAAUUCCUAGUAAACGCAAGUCAUAAGCUUGCAUUGAUUACGUCCCUGCCCUUUGUACACACCGCCCGUCGCACCUACCGAUUGAAUGGUCCGGUGAAAUCUCCGGACUGGCGUGAGUCGGAGCAAUCUGACAAACACCGGAAAGUUGAUUAAACCUUACCAUUUAGAGGAAGGUGAAGUCGUAACA